rnacentral:rRNA from 1 species
AUUCCAGCUCCAAUAGCGUAUAUUUAAGUUGCUGCAGUUAAAAAGCUCGUAGUUGGAUUUCGGGUGGGAAUGGCCGGUCCGCCGUUUCGGUGUGCACUUGCUACGCCCACCUUGCUGCCGGGGACGUGCUCUUGAGUUCACGCUCGGGACACGGAGUCGGCGAGGUUACUUUGAGUAAAUUAGAGUGUUCAAAGCAGGCCUACGCUCUGAAUACAUUAGCAUGGAAUAACACGAUAGGACUCUGGCCUAUCUUGUUGGUCUGUAGGACCGGAGUAAUGAUUAAGAGGGACAGUCGGGGGCAUUCGUAUUUCAUUGUCAGAGGUGAAAUUCUUGGAUUUAUGAAAGACGAACUACUGCGAAAGCAUUUGCCAAGGAUGUUUUCAUCA